rnacentral:lncRNA from 1 species
AAGAUGGCGGAGGAGUAGGGGGACAUGCUCGCCCUCUCCCACAAACACAACAAAAAAAGCACAUCUACAGAAUAAAUGACUCGCACAGAACAGCAACCAAUCGCUGGCAGAGGAACUUAAACUCCAAUAACGGCAAGAAGUUCGUGACAUUGUUGGGCAGAACGGGAGAAAAGAGGAGAGUGAGAGAAGGUGAAUCCGAGCGGGACAGGUGCUCCUGAAAGGGAACUGUGGAGGAGAAAGGGAUCCCGCACCCUGGAAGGUCACCUACCGGGUGAAAGAUCAAAUGAACUGGAGGAAUCUCCAGAUGCAGAGAAGAGUGUAGCAGUAAGUUGGAGUACGGAAAAGCCGAUCAAGAACCCAACGGACCAUCUGAACUACGGGCACAGUCACCAAAAAUUGAGACGCCUGGGUGGGGGCUGGGCACCGAGACCUCGCCUCUGAAGCACAACAUUUGGAGGCCCCAGCAAGAUCAGAGACCCUCCAGCUCCUGGAACUCCAAUGCCUCCAAGAUCCACACAGGGAGAAGAGUCAUUUCUUAGGAGGCAUGCACCCUGAUGAUGUUCCAGGGCCCUGAGGAAAAACCACCUGAGCUCCUCCGUGCUGAUCCCAGGAGACUUCACCUGGAUAUUAGAGAACGGAGUCUCCCAGUCUGGAAAUCCUCCAGAGGUGAUGCUCUUACAGUAUGCCGAUGACCUCCUGCUGGAAGCAGCAACCAAAAAUCCUGCUGAGAUGCUACAGAAGGACUGCUAGGAAUUCUCCAAGUGCUCAGAUACCAAGUUUCAGCACAAAAGGCUCAGCUCUGCACCCUCCAAGCCACCUACCUGGGGUAUGACCUAGAAGGAGGUAAGAGCACCCUAUCUGCCUCUUGGGUCUCUGCUGUCCUAAAAAUUCCAACUCCCACCACAAAGAAACAGGUGUGAGAAUUCCUUGGAGCAGUGGGAUACUGCCACCUCUGGAUCCUAGGUUUCGCAGAAUUGGCAAAACCCCUCUAUUCUGCCACUGCUGGGGGAAAUACCCCAUUAAUAUGGACAGAGGCUGAACAACAGGCCUUUGCAAACCUAAAAAAAAGGACCUAACAUCAGCUCCCACACUUGCCUUGCCUGGUAUAACCAAGCCCUUCCACCUAUACAUAAAUGAGACUAAAGCCAUAGCUAAGGGAGUAUUAGUGCAAGCUUUAGGGGCCUUUGAGGCACCCGGUGGCAUAUCUCUCAAAAGGACUGGAUCCAGCAGCCUCUGGGUGGCCAGCAUGCCUAUGUGUGGUAGGUGCAGCAGCCAUCCUAGUUAAGGAAGCUGAUAAACUAACCCCGGGCCAGAACUUGCUCCUCACAUCCCCGCACAAUGUGGAGGCCCUCCUAAGAGGAACUCCUGAAUGUUGGCUCAAAUGUGUGGCUCACACAAUAGUAGGCCUUACUCUUAGACCAAUCUUCAUUGAAGUUCCAAAAAUUGACAGCCCCAAAUCCAGCCACCCUCCUACCAGACAAUGACCCACUGCAGCCCAUCCACAGCUGUGUGGAAGUCACAACCAGCCCACAAGGACUGUGACCAGAUCUGAGCGACAUUCCACUGGCACAACUUGAGGAGGUAUUCUUUAUGGAUGGGAGCAGCUUUAUAAAUGAUUGGGGUCAUGUUGGCAGGGGCUGCAGUCAUCAAUAAGGAGGGAGAAAUAAUAUGGGCUCAGCCUUUAGGCCAUGAGAGUUCAGCUCAGAAGGCAGAACUGAUUGCCUUGACUGAGGCUCUGAGAAAGGCAAAAGGAAAAACUGUUAACAUUUAUAUGGACACCUGAUAUGCAUUUGCUACAGCAAAUGUGCAUGGGAGCCUCUACAAGGAGAGAGGUCUCUUAACAUCAGAAUGAAAGGACAUUAAAAAUAAAAAGGAAAUACUUGGGCUCCUAGAAGCCAUCUGGCUACCAGCAAAAGUUGCUAUCAUCCAUUGUAAAGGCCACUAAAGAGGGGAAUUCUCUCUAGAGGCAAAAGGGAACAGGGCAGCCAAUGUGGCAGCCAAGGAGGUAGCUAAAAAACAAGUGGGGAAGGCUAUGGCCCUGACCACAGUACCCACCCUUCCACCAAAACCUCAGUAUACACCUGAGGAAGAAAGAAGAAAUCACCAAUGAGGUGGACAAGCAAGGAUGGUGGCAUUUGCCAGAAGGAUGCAUCAGUGUACCCCAAGCCCUGGGGAAAACACUGAUCCAACUGCUGCAUGGCGGUACACAUCUAGGCACUCAGAAGAUGUCUGACCUCCUCCAGAGACACUACUACAUACCCGACCCAGAUGGUAUGAUCACAGACCAUGUGAGUAGAUGCCAAGUUUGUGCACAGAUGAACCAGAAGGGAGGACCCAAAUCCUCCCCCAGUGUAAGGUUCAGAGGAGCAUCCCCAGGGGAACAUUGGGGAGGUUGACUUCACAGAGGUAAGAACAACAACUGAAGGCUACAGGUACUUCCUGUUUUUUAUAGAUACUUGUUCUGGCUGGGUGGAAGCCUUCCUCACCAAAAAAGAGACUGUUCAAUUACCGUCAAGAAACUGCUCUGUGAGUUGGUGCCUGGAUUUGGCCUUCCUUUAUCUUUGGGGUCCGACAAUGGCCUGGCCUUCAUGGCCAAAGUCUCAAAAUUAGUAAGUAAAGCCCUGGGCUUAAAACGGAAACUUCAUUGUGCUUAUUGCCUCCAAAGUUCAGGACAGGUAGAAAGGAUGAAUAGAACUCUGAAAGAAAUCCUGACUAAACUAAGGCUUGAAACUGGCCAUGGUUGGAUAGAACUCCUGCCUGUCACCCUGCUAAAAGUGAGAUGCACCCCCUAUAAAAGGGGAUUCACACCAUAUGAAAUCAUGUUUGGGAGAACUCCCCCUUUGUUACCAAGGGUAAAGUAUCCCGAGACUCUGGAAAUUUCUAACCAUAACCUAUGUAAGUCUUUACGGGCCCUUCAAUGAGUCUAGACAGAAAUCCAUUGACUGGUUCAAGAGGCCAUACCCAGGCAAGAAGGGACUGAUGCCAAGCACACCUUCCAGCCAGGAGACCUCGUGUGGGUAAAACAAUUCUCAACCAAGGCCCUGGAACCCUCCUGGAAAGGACCUCACUCCGUUGGUGAAGGUUGCUGGGAAGGACCCCUGGAUACAUCACUCCAGGCAGAAGUCAGCUCCUCCAGAAAAGCCAGAUCAGAAAUGGACUGUCAAACAGUCAACUGAGGACCUACUAAAAAUAAUACUGGCAUCAGUUACCUUUGUUUAAUCUUUUUAUUUUCCUUCUUCUUAACACCUCGGACUGCUAUAUUUGUUUGGGGAUGGGAAGGCUACGACAGACAAGGGAUGAGCCCCCACUCAACCACUCAAAAAGACCACAACUGAAAAGGUCAAAGAACCCCAGCUACCCCUUCUUGAGCUGUCCAGAAAUCAAGCUAACUGGCUAACAUACAUCACCAAGGUGCAUGAAAUACCUGGCAAUAGCAAAAGCCCAUUAAUGAAAAACCGUUGGAUCUGUACCUCCUCUUCUCCUGGCUUAAUGCCUAUUGAUGAUUCUGAGGCCAAUCAAACAUUCACUAAUUUAAACUUGGCCACUCCAGACUACUCCUUAAUGGGCCCCCUUCCUACCCCUAAGAAACUUGCUAGAUGUUAUGUUCAAAAGGGCUCUAUUCCCUUAAAGGGACUGAGAGUACCCUUUGAUGCCUCUCACUGUAACCAGACAGCUACUGUCCCUAAAAAUACUCCCUGUACCACUAAAGGGAAACUCUUUCAAUGUGGAGAUGUACUAUAUCGCUGCCUCCCCAAAAACUGGGAUGGAAUAUGCAUCAUUUCCUGGGCAAUCCCAGAUGCAUCCCUCAUCCCUGGAAAAUAAGCAUUCUCAUUACAGUAUACUGAAGGGCUCAUCCAAAAAAAUGAAUCAAGAGGACGUUUCCCCUCUUGAUUCCUCUUGUGGCAGCUCUGGGCAUCACGGCAGGAGUAGGCAUAGGAGUGGCUGGGAUAGUACAGAGCACAGGCCUGUCUGAGCAAGUCCAGGGUGACCUGGAUACAGUCAUGUCAAUGGUACUUUCUUUACAAGAUCAGUUGAACUCAUUGGCAGAAGUUGUAUUACAAAAUAGAAGGGGCCUAGAUCUCCUAACAGUGGAGAAAGGGGGCCUUUGUACUUUCCUGGGUGGACAAUGCUGUUUCUACACAAACAAAUCUGGCAUAGUUCAUGAUAUGGUGCAACAGUUAAGAGACCAGAUAGCAAAAAACAAGCCAGAUAUAAAAAUAAUUGGUUAUGGGACAGACUUUCUGGAUGGUUCCCCUGGCUCCUCCCUAUAUUAGGCCCAAUAGUCACUAUAGGACUAAUUUUACUUUUGCACCUUGUCUCCUCUGAUGUGUUACAGGAUUUAUGCAAGACAGGAUAAAAGCAUUUACUAACCAGACCAUCUCACAGAUGGUCCUAAAUAAAUACAAACCUGUGCCUAACAGUGAGUCAAUGAUUUGACUCAAAGGAGGUAAACAAAACCAGUGAGGAAUGAAGGACAUAAGCCUGGGCCUCAUUAACAUUCCACAGGGCCAGUGUAAAGCAAUCAACCCGGCACCUAAGUCUCCAUCUGACCGAAGCCCCCUUCCUUAGAAGAACAAAGUUAGCUAAUAAGGAGGACUGCAGAUGCUACAAGGUUACCCGUCUAAUUGACUCUUUGGCACCAGCAUAAGCUGCCUGCUUGAAGUUAGAAGAUAUGGCCCUUACCAUAAAUCAUUAUUGUUAACAUAAACACUAUUACUAAUUAAGGUUUGAAGUAUUUUAACUGCCACUUUGUUUUUGCACCCCUGCUUAUGCACGUGCGCCCCCUCCCAACCUGGAUGUAAGUUUGCCUUUAUAAACACUGUCUGUUUCUUUCUUUGGGGCUUCACACUCAAGCUGAUUUUAGGCAGUAUGUGGUCCUAGCCUGUAAUAAAGACUCCUAAUUUGUUUCUUC